CCCGGACCAGGGCUUGAACCCGUGUCCCCUGCAUUGGCAAGCGGAUUCUUAACCACUGUGCCACCAGGGAAACCCCAUAUUAACUAUUCAAAAGAGAGUAGAGCUGAGAUUGAUAUGCCUUAGGAGUAGACUUUGUCCUCAAAUUCUUUUUUUGUGUGUGUGUCCUUAAAUUCUCACACUGAAAUACUAAUCUCCAGGACCUGUGACCGAGACCUUAUUUGGAAGUAGGGUCUUUGCAGAUGAUCAAGUUAAGAGAAUUGAAAAUUUCCUGCUGAAGACCUCAUGAUCAGACAGGUCCCGCCUGUCUGCAUUUCAGCCAGAGGGAGACGGGGAACAUUCCAGCAAAGGCAGUAUCCUAUACACUGAUUACUGGGGCAGCUGUCAAAGGCCUUCCACUGCUGUGGCCUCUCCCGUUGCGGAGCACAGGCUCCGGACG